GACGUAGGGCGCGAGCGUUGUCCGGAUUUAUUGGGCGUAAAGAGCUCGUAGGCGGCUUGUUACGUCGACUGUGAAAACCCGCGGCUCAACUGCGGGCCUGCAGUCGAUACGGGCAGGCUAGAGUUCGGUAUGGGAGACUGGAAUUCCUGGUGUAGCGGUGAAAUGCGCAGAUAUCAGGAGGAACACCGGUGGCGAAGGCGGGUCUCUGGGCCGAUACUGACGCUGAGGAGCGAAAGCGUGGGGAGCGAACAGG
rnacentral:rRNA from 1 species